CAGGUUACAGCAGGCAAUUUCAGCAUCCAGGCUUGCAGAAAAUUACAUUCUCAAAGUGCUGUUACAUUCCCUGAGUGCUUCUCCUAAUGGCUUCUUGACUCUGUUUUAGUUGGGUGUGACAAGAAUGACCCAAUUCACAUCACUUAUUGGAUAUAUGAUUUGCAAAUGUCUUUUCCUAUUGUGUAGGCUGUCUUUUCACUUUAACGGAGGGAACUCUUCAUGUAGAAGGUGACAUGUGGGAUAGCUCCUGAAAUGAAUGGCAAAAAUAGAAUAAAGCUAAAAACUACUAAAAUAAGAAUAUGCAUUAUAAUAUGUAUGAUAAACAGAUUGUGUGAUUAGGGCUGUUGCUCAACCAUCUGUGCUGUGUAUUUUUGUUUGCAGAUCUAUGAUAACUUUCUGUGUUUCAAGUGUCACUGUUUAAGCUACUCUAAAUUAAAGAAGAGCAAAUUAAAAAGGCAAAUUAAAGAAGAACAGCAAUCUCUUUCUUGCUUCCUAUAUUGAUCAAUUCCCCUGAUGAAUGGUUUGCCAAUUAUCUAUAAAUACAUUGUGUCCCCAUAUCGCUGUGAACACUGUGAACGCCCUCCGCUGCACCUUCUGAAGCGUGAAUGUUUCUUCUUUGGCAAAAGUAGAACUGAGUAAAUAAACCUUGCCUCAGUGGAGAGAGACACUUUGGAAUGACCUUCUGCCUGAAAAGUUCAUCCAGAGAGUCAUCACUUUGUACCCCUGAUCAGCGUGCUAAGCAAAGAGCAGCUGUGACUCAGCCUGGUGACUGAAGAGAUGGUUCCUGGUUCUUUUAUAGGGCACCUGUGUCCAUUUUGCUGCUGUGGACAUCCAUCUUUACUCAACAUUCCUAAAUUAAAAUUGAAGGCUUUAGGAAGAGUUGUUAUUAUUAUAAAGCUAUCUUAAGAAAUAAUAGCCUUUAAAAUUUAUUAACACAUUCUUAACAAAUGUUAUUGGGACAGGAAAAUGAAGCAAACAAAAAGACAUGAACAGAAGGGAUUCUGUAGGAUUUGUAGUUGAUUCAUUCAUUCUCUUUCUUUCAGUCCAUUUUUUUCUCCUCUCUCUUUUUCUUCCUCCCUUCCUUCCCUACCAUUCUCUCCCCUCCCUCCCUUCCCAUUUCCUUUUCUCUCCUCUCCAACACUGGUUACUGAAAAUGCUUUACUUAAUGAUUUUGUAAUGUCAGGACAUGCUCUGGCAACCUCUCAAAUACUUGGAAGGAUUAAUAUGAAGGAACAGGCUGGCAGCUUGCUGAAUUCAUUUAAACAACAAAUGCUAUGGAACAAACAAUUGUAAAAAUGAGUGCCAGCUGGUUUUUUAAAGUAACUUUUCUUACUUAACUGAAGGCUGGUAUCAAUUGAACUAAUUCAAUGCAGAAGGGCCAUCUUCAUGCUGUUAACUCCAAAGAAAUGUUGAGUUAUUGUUUUUUGCAAUAGUGGUGUACACAGCCUAUUUCACUCUAUCUUGGUAUCUGUUUUCACAAAACCAUCACAAGAACCCAGAUAUAACUCAAAUCCAGUCUGUCCAUUACACACAGAUUAAAAUUCCAGACAUAAAACUAAAUCUGUUUUUUUCAAAUGAAAAAUAAUUUUAAUUGACAAGUAGAAAUGAUCUUUACUGAUCAUAUACAACACAUCCUUUUGGAAUACGUAUACAUUGUAAAAUGGCUAAAUUGAGCUAAUUAACAUACUUAUUUUUUAGGGAAUGAGAAUACUUAACAUUUCUCGGCAAUUUUCAAGACUAUAAUAUAUUGAUAUUAACUAUAGUCACCAUGUUUUACGAUAAAUCUAUUUAACUUAUUCCUCCUAUCUAACUUAAACUUUGUGUCCUUUGACCAACAUCUCAAUUGCCUCCUCGACUCCAGUUCCCUGGUAACUACCAUUUUACUCCUUACUUGUAUGAGUUCAACGUUUUUAGAUUCCAAGUAUAAGUGAGAACAUGCAGUAUUUUUCUGUACCUGGUUUAUUUCACUUAAUAUCUCCUAGAUUUAUCUAUGUUGUCACAAAUGACAACAUUUUCGUUUUCUCAGGGUCAAGUAGUACUCCAUUGUGCAUAUAUACCAUAUUUUCUUUAUCCAUUCCUAUACUGAUGGAUACUUAUUUUGAGUCCAUAUCUUGGCUAUUGUGAAUAAUGCUGUAAUGAACAGGGGAGUGUAGCUAUCUCUUUGACAUACUGAUUUCAUUUCCUUUGUAUGUGUAUCCAGAAGUAGGAUUGCUGGAUCAUGUGGUAGUUCUAUUUUUAAUUUUUUGAGGAACCUUUAUGCUAUUUCCCAUAAGUACAGCACUAAUUGACAUUCACACUAACAAUGUACAAGAAUUCUCUGUUCUCCACAUCCUCACCAAAAUUUAUCUUUUGUCUUUUUGAUAAUAGUUAUUAUAUCAGGUGUGAGGUGAUAUCUCAUUGUGGUUUUAAUUUGCUUUCUCUGAUGAUUAGUAAUAUUGGGCAUUUUUCAUAUGCCUGUUGGCCACUUGUGUGACUUCUUUUGAGAAAUGUUUAUUCAGAUCUGUUUCCCAUUUUUAACCUGGGUUAUUUGUUUUCUAACUAUUGAGUUGUUUGAGUUCCUUAGAGAUGUUGAACCCUCAUCAGAUGUAUGGUUUGCAAAUGUUUUCUCCCAUUGCAUAGGUUGUCUCUCUACUGUGUUGAUUGUUUCCUUGACUGUGUCCAUUACACACAAAUUAAAAUCACAGUAAUUAAACCACAUCUCUAUUAUUAGCUGGAUUUCAUGGGGGCACGUUUCACUGUAAGCAUUUUGGAUUCAGAGCUUUUCUGGUUACUUUGGGUAAAGGCCCCUAAGCGGCAGGAUGCUUCUCCUCCAGGAUUCCUUGGUUUCUGAUCUCUGAACUAGCUAUGUUCUUCAGCUACUUUUCAAACAAAAAUGAAUAACUUGCUGACUCACUGACUUUACACACAAAAGUAUAAGAAACAACUUUCUUGGCAGAGGGGUUCAUUUAAUGUUCUCUAAACUUAUUCUCCUUUGUGGCCCUGUUCUAGCAGCUGUUUUUUAUCUUUAUUAUUUAUUAAUAGGGUUAUGGCACACCAUAGAUUUUUGAACCUCUCUCUCUCUCUGGAGCUUAAAUUAUUGCCUGAUAGGAAAACUAUCAAAUCAUAUUGAUUGUUUCAGGUCUCAGAGAUGUUUCUCCUGAGCUAAUUUUCUUCCUCUUCCAUUUGUCUCUUACCCAGGAGAGAAAAUACAACCCAGAGUGUGUUAGAGGUGAAUUGCUUCAUGAAUUGCUUCAUGGAGCUUGCUGGCAUUGAUCAACACAGGAUUCUGCCCUUUUCUUUUGUGGCAGUUUCCUGCUUAGAUAAAUUUUUCAUUGCUGUGGUUUUAACGACUUAUUUUUAUUUUUUCUUUUUACAAAGUAAUAAAUGUGCAUGGAAGUACUUCAAGUAGUACAAAGUGUAUACAGUAAGUCUCCUUCCACCCACUGAGACCCAGUCCUCCAGCUCAUCUCCCAAGAGGAGCGUCCCUAAAACUUCCCAUUACAGAGACAAAUUUCAUUUCUUCGUCCUGUAAUUCAGAGCUCUCCAUGAUCUUUCUUGAACCUCUUUCCCUCUUUUCUAACCCCUACUCCUGGCACAUACCCCCUACUGUCACCAUAUCUGCUAUCCUGCUCCUGGAUGAGUCCUGGGUUUGCUCCUGGGUUUUCCCUGGGAAACACAGGUCUUUGCUCUGCUGGUCCCGUCUGGCAGGGUGUCCUCUGUUCUCCUCCCAAAGCCUGCCCAGCUUCAAAACUCUGCUCAGAUCUAACCUGCCUUGCAAGGUCUUCAGAAUUUCCCUAGUCUGAAAGUGAUCAUGUUCUCCUUUUUCAUCUUGUCAUGAAGCAUGAUGGCUGAUUUUCUAGUAUUCAUCUGAUGUGUUUGUCUCCACUACUAAGCUGUAAGAUCUGAGGGGGAAGGAAUUAAGAAACUUCAACUCUAGGCUCAGCUCAGCCAUUAAUAACCAUGUGCCCCAGAAAAAGCCACUAUACUUCUCUGAGCCCAGUUUUCUUAUCAGUCACAACAUUUUUGAAAACAAAUAGCCAAGCCUUACAAGACUCAAGAAGAAAGCAGUAGCUCGUGCUGCCUCUAUGUUCUUAAAGUAGGGAAACAUAUUCUUUCUUUCCUAUGUAAAUGAAAAUAAACAUUUCAAGUAAAUAAAUUAGGUUAUUACUGUCUCUAAGAACUACAAGCCUCAUGGAAAUACAAAGAAUGUGUUUAUUGAAGUAUAUGAAGUAAACACUGAGAAUUAUAAAUCUGAGCGAUUAAUCCAGAAUCCCAAGUUCCAUGGAAUGUUUAAUUAUGUACCAAUACCCUCCAUUCAAGUAAACAACUUGCAGGUUGAUUGAAUUCAUGGAC
rnacentral:lncRNA from 1 species